rnacentral:rRNA from 1 species
UGGGGAAUAUUGGACAAUGGGGGCAACCCUGAUCCAGCAAUGCCGCGUGUGUGAAGAAGGUCUUCGGAUUGUAAAGCACUUUCGACGGGGACGAUGAUGACGGUACCCGUAGAAGAAGCCCCGGCUAACUUCGUGCCAGCAGCCGCGGUAAUACGAAGGGGGCUAGCGUUGCUCGGAAUGACUGGGCGUAAAGGGCGUGUAGGCGGUUUACACAGUCAGAUGUGAAAUCCCCGGGCUUAACCUGGGAGCUGCAUUUGAUACGUGUAGACUAGAGUGUGAGAGAGGGUUGUGGAAUUCCCAGUGUAGAGGUGAAAUUCGUAGAUAUUGGGAAGAACACCGGUGGCGAAGGCGGCAACCUGGCUCAUGACUGACGCUGAGGCGCGAAAGCGUGGGGAGCAAACAGGUUAGA